AACGAACGCUGGCGGCAUGCCUAACACAUGCCAGUCGAACGAGACCUUCGGGUCUAGUGGCGCACGGGUGCGUAACGCGUGGGAACCUGCCCUUAGGUUCGGAAUAACUCCCCGUAAGGGGCGCUAAUACCGGAUAAUGUCUUCGGACCAAAGAUUUAUCGCCUUUGGAUGGGCCCGCGUUGGAUUAGCUAGUUGGUAGGGUAAAAGCCUACCAAGGCGACGAUCCAUAGCUGGUCUGAGAGGAUGAUCAGCCACACUGGGACUGAGACACGGCCCAGACUCCUACGGGGGGCAGCAGUGGGGAAUAUUGGACAAUGGGCGAAAGCCUGAUCCAGCAAUGCCGCGUGAGUGAUGAAGGCCUUAGGGUUGUAAAGCUCUUUUACCCGGGAUGAUAAUGACAGUACCGGGAGAAUAAGCUCCGGCUAACUCCGUG
rnacentral:rRNA from 1 species